CAUGGCGAGCAGCGGGGUGGGCGAGCGGCGUGUAGAGAUCUACAGCCCUCAGCGGGCGGAGCGGCCCCGAAAGGUGCGGGUGGGUGCGCCCACCCCGGCGGUGCCGGCCCGACGGGGCAGAGCGAGGGAGGCGGCCGGGGGGACGCAGGAGCGCUGGGGGGAGAGCGCGGCCGAGGGCACAGGGCACAGAGCAGCCGCGCUCCUCCCGCAGCGCCCCUUCAUAUACACCGCGGGCUCCGCCCUGCCCGCGCUGCCGCCAAUGCGGAUCCGCCGAGAGCUCCGCGGGCGGGGCCCGGGGCGGGCGGGGCUCGGUGGGGGCGCGCCGGCGGCGGGAGCGUCAAAGAGGGAGGGGGCGGGGGGCUGCGGCACCGGCAGCGGGGGGAAGGGUGGGUAUGGGCCGCCCACUGCUCACCGGAGCUCCAACCCGCCGGGCCGGGCAGGUGCGUGCGUGCUACCGCGGGGGCGCGCGUCCUUGCCUGGCUGGAGCUGCGGGCGCGUGUGCGCGCGCCGGUCCGCACACCUGUGCGCGCGCCGCUCCACACGCGCGCCUGCCCGUUCCCGGUAUUCCGCCCUGCCCGCUCCCUGCGGCCCCUGCUCCCCACAGCAGAGCUGGUCGGCCGGGCGCUGCUGAGCACCGUCUGUCUCCCUCUCCCGUUCCUGGCGCCCCGCGCGGCCGCCCGCUCCGCUCCGCCGCGCCCGCCAUACUCCGGUAGGCUCACGUGUAACACGGCUGCGGAUAUAAUGAGCUCCGACAGCGCUCCCGUCCCGGCCCCGCGCUCCGCCGCCCGCGCCCUGGGAGUACCAGCCGGGAGGGGCGGGCAGGGGCUUCCUGGCGGCAGCGGGCCUUGCCUGUCCCCUGCGGCGGGAGGGACAGGACUCGCACACGCGGCAGCCGCCGCCGCCCUUGCGGGGUGACCUUUAGGGCGCUGCACAGACGCCACAGCCGCCUUGGGGUCGGGGAAUACCCAGCCGCCGGCAGCGCACCCCCCUGGCCCGGCCGGGUGGGGUUGGGGGAUUCUCUGCGGGGACACCUCUGUCAUCACAGGUCUGGAGUUGCAAUGAAUGCACAUAAGAUGAGCCUUUCUAUGGUACUCCCUAGCAGGUGCACCUUCUGGCAGUUCCCUGCAAGAAUGACCUAGCCUGGAAUCAAGGACCACCCAAACUCAACAUGCUCUCCUCAGGUCUCAAGAAGAAGUGGUCUGGCCACCAUCAUCACAUACCCUUCCUAAGCCAUUAAAGCUAGCAUUUAGGGAACAAGCCAUAA